GACGAACGCUGGCGGCGUGCCUAAUACAUGCAAGUAGAACGCUGAAGCUUGGUGCUUGCCCCGAGCGGAUGAGUUGCGAACGGGUGAGUAACGCGUAGGUAACCUGCCUGGUAGCGGGGGAUAACUAUUGGAAACGAUAGCUAAUACCGCAUAAGAGUAGAUGUUGCAUGACAUUUGCUUAAAAGGUGCAAUUGCAUCACUACCAGAUGGACCUGCGUUGUAUUAGCUAGUUGGUGAGGUAACGGCUCACCAAGGCAACGAUACAUAGCCGACCUGAGAGGGUGAUCGGCCACACUGGGACUGAGACACGGCCCAGACUCCUACGGGAGGCAGCAGUAGGGAAUCUUCGGCAAUGGACGGAAGUCUGACCGAGCAACGCCGCGUGAGUGAAGAAGGUUGUCGGAUCGUAAAGCUCUGUUGUAAGAGAAGAACGAGUGUGAGAGUGGAAAGUUCACACUGUGACGGUAUCUUACCAGAAAGGGACGGCUAACUACGUG
rnacentral:rRNA from 1 species